rnacentral:rRNA from 1 species
AGAGUUUGAUCCUGGCUCAGGAUGAACGCUAGCUACAGGCUUAACACAUGCAAGUCGAGGGGAAACGACACGGUAGCUUGCUACUGUGGGCGUCGACCGGCGCACGGGUGAGUAACGCGUAUCCAACCUGGCCUGAGGUAAGGGAUAAUCCGUAGAAAUGCGGUCUAAUACCUUAUGUGUUCCGAAGAGGACAUCUGAUUUGGAAUAAAGAUUUAUCGCCUUAGGAUGGGGAUGCGUCUGGAUUAGAUUGUUGGGCNGGGUAACGGCCCACCAAGUCAUCGAUCAUAAGGGGUUCUGAAAAGGAAAGCCCCCCCCAUUGGGAANUGAAACACGGCCCAAACUCCUACGGGAGGCAGCAGGGAGGAAAUUGGGUCAUGGGCGAAAGCCNGAACCCNCCNANUANCGGGANGNUGACGGCCCNUGGGGUUGUAACUGCUUUUGACNGGGAAAAAAGAGACANNUUUUUUUUUUUCNGGGCCCGGA